UCCCUGUUUUUUAAGGGUCUCCUUAAUGCCUCCUGAUGUCAAGCCUGAACCUGAUCUCAAUCAAUUUGUGAUGGUUAUUCCUUGUUAUCCCAGGUGGUGCCCAGGGGAACAGAGUCUCACCUAUUUUCUGCUGGUCCCCCCAGUGAGUU